GCCUGGGUGGCUCAGUCGGUUAAGCGUCUGACUUCGGCUCAGGUCAUGAUCUCACAGUCCGUGAGUUCGAGCCCCGCGUCAGGCU
rnacentral:tRNA from 1 species